CGCGGGGUGUUACACAGCAAAAUGCAAAUUUGCAGAAGCACCAAGAACGGUGCCGGGGCU
rnacentral:tRNA from 1 species